rnacentral:lncRNA from 1 species
AAUAAUUCUAGUACCAAAUAGUCAUAUUAAUUCAUUUUCAAGCAAUUAACCCAUCAACGAAAUUAUCUUGUAAAAACAAAAACAUUAACCCACCUUCUCCCACCUCUGAGCAAACCCCUUCUCCCACCUCUGAUCUCCCCCCUUUCUCAAAAGAGAGGGGGGAGACAAGCUUUUUCUCUCUUCUCCCUUUCAUGUCUUUUUCCACCGUUCUGUCGUCUUAGAUCCUCACCCGCAACUCCUUAUCUCUCCACUUCUUUUUGCCUCCUGAAACUUAUACGAUUUUUUCUUAUUUCUUUUAUGGUCGUGAUUCCGUUGCUCCUUUUCGGGUUCAGAGGAGGGGAAGAGAGCUUCUCGCCACUUUUCCUUAUCGCCGUAUGGCCUCGCCCGCAGAUCAAGAAGCUUUUUCGAUUUCGUUUUGAGUUACUUUCAGAUUUAACUAAUUUUCUUCCCAUUUGAGGAUGGAAAACUAGGGAUUUAAUCUAGAAGGAAAAUCAGGAGGUUAUAUCGUCGGAUGACAAAUGCAAUCUAGGAAAUGAAAGAGGAAAUGUGAUGGGUUACUAGAUGGAAAAGGUGAUUGAAGAAAAAGAUGACAGUUGCAGGGAUGGAAAAAAACGACAGUUGCAAGGAUAGAAAAAGAUGAAGACAAGUGAAGACACGUAUUGAAACUCUCUAAAGGUUCUAAAAGUUUCAGGCGGGAGUUAUUUCAACCUGGAAACGCGAUCCGAAGUUGGUCAUAGAUCGACAUGAUGGAGAUUCACACUAUGUUUUCAGUUUUUUUCGUUUAUCAUUAUUUUUUUUAUCCUUUGUACUCUUUUAAUUUUAUUUUAUAAAAAUCGCCUUUAAAAAAAAAAAAAAAAAAAAAAAAAAAAUUAUCUUGUAUACCUACUACUAACCAAAUCAUUCAAGAAUAAAUGCUGUCUUCCCUAUUCAUAACACAAUGAACCAACCUAAAGAACCAAGA